GCCCGCCUAGCUCAAUCGGAUAGAGCGUCAGACUCUUAAGGCGGGUGCGAUUCCAUCACAACUACCUGAUGAAAUCUGAAGGCUGCGAGUUCGACCCUCGCGGUGGGCU